rnacentral:sRNA from 1 species
CCUGUCUUUAAGGCUGACCUUUCGUCCUUUGACCUCCUCAGCCUCCAUUCCCAUCUUCGCUCAGACUGCAAGUAUGUUUGUAUUAAUGUACUAUGUAGGCGGCUUGGAGCUGGGGAACAUUCUUUCAUUCUAAGAAUUUGCAGAUGCUGACGUUCCUCCUUUCUGCCCCUACAGGCUCUGGCUUAUCCAAGAGGCAAACACUGACCUCUGGUAAUUAAAAUUCUAGUUCUUUUCUUUUGUCUUUCCCAGGAAUUUGACAAGAAGUACAAUCCCACCUGGCAUUGCAUCGUGGGGAGGAACUUCGGUAGUUAUGUGACACAUGAAACCAAACACUUCAUCUACUUCUACCUGGGCCAAGUGGCCAUUCUUCUGUUCAAAUCUGGUUAAAAGCAUGGACUGUGCCACACACCCAGUGAUCCAUCCAAAAACAAGGACUGCAGCCUAAAUUCCAAAUACCAGAGACUGAAAUUUUCAGCCUUGCUAAGGGAACAUCUCGAUGUUUGAACCUUUGUUGUGUUUUGUACAGGGCAUUCUCUGUACUAGUUUGUCGUGGUUAUAAAACAAUUAGCAGAAUAGCCUACAUUUGUAUUUAUUUUCUAUUCCAUACUUCUGCCCACGUUUUCUCUCAAAAUCCAUUCCUUUAAAAAAUAAAUCUGUUGCAGAUGUG